UAGCUAUCGUGUUUGGCUAAUCCAAUCUUGGGAUUAACAUGGAAUCCUUGAAAAAAGUUUUAUAGGUUCUACCAUGUCAUUUUGAUAUAAGAUUCUAUAAUUUAAUAGUGUGCUUUUUUUAUGAGUCACCGACUCAUGCCAUUUUCAUGAAGCAAAUAUUCUCCUAUUCGUCUGACCACCUCUUGAUUUUAUAUAAAAAUCCUAAAUAUUAAACCCUAUACCCUAAACUUAGAGUUCGAAUCUGCCCUCCACAAAGUUGCGCCCCAAAAACAUUCUACGGCAUCACAAGACAUCGUGUGUUCUCCCACACGCGGAUGCCUCUGCCUCGUGUGGAGCUAAUGGGAUGGCCAUUAACUCGUCCCAGUAGCUCCCAUUUCACCCAAAAAGUGAGUACAAUUCAUCUCUCACUCCUCUCUUUGAAUCUCAGUCUCCUCGAACUCUCGACUCGUGCUCUCUAAAACCGGCCAGAGGCCCAGAGCUUGCCGAGUUUGAGUUCCCUCUUUCGACUCCGACGAUCAUUCUGGAAGAUACACCGGAGAAAAAACGCAGAAAGUGCGUACUCCUUGUUCCGGUAGAUACAGGUGCGGAUGGGGCGAUCUGAGUUUCAGAGAGCGUAGGUCGAGAUAGAGGAGUGAAAGACUGAGAUUAUAAUUAAGAGUAAAGAGGGGAAACAUACCUCUGGUGUAUCUUUUGGAACAAUCGUUGGUGUCGAAAAAGGGAACUCAAACUCGAUAAGCUCAGCGGGUUUCAAGAGCACAUGUCGAGAGUUUGAGUGAGAGGCUGAGAUUCGAGAGAGAGGAGCUCACUUUUUGGGCGAAAUGAGAGCUAACGGGAUGAGCUAAUGGCAUGAGGCAGAGGCGCCUGCGUGUGGGAGGACGCACGACGUCUUGUGAGUGAGGGGGAUCGGACACAAUUCCUCAGCCAAUAAUUUCUCAUGUAUGUGUGGCAAAUUGCGUACAACAUUGUUUACUAAUAAAAAAAAAUACUAGCAUAUCUCCAUAUAAAAUAUUUCAUGGUUCCUAAAUGGUCAUGGGUAAUCUCCAAGUUGACCAUAGUCUGGGGUGUAUGAAGUCUUCCCCAAAAGGUGGCCAAUACAAUGGAAUUAUUCCUAUCUAAUAAUAAGAUUGCCUAGCUCGAAGCUUGAUCUGGCCUAUGGACAUGUUUUCAUUGCGUCCUUUUUCAUCUUUCUUUCUAUUAUACGUAUAUACAUGAAAUUCAUACUGACAUCUGAUUUGAUAUUACUA